rnacentral:rRNA from 1 species
GAUGUACGCUGGCGGCGUGCCUAAUACAUGCAAGUCGAGCGAACAGACGAGGAGCUUGCUCCUCUGACGUUAGCGGCGGACGGGUAAGUAACACGUGGAUAACCUACCUAUAAGACUGGGAUAACUUCGGGAAACCGGAGCUAAUACCGGAUAAUAUAUUGAACCGCAUGGUUCAAUAGUGAAAGACGGUUUUGCUGUCACUUAUAGAUGGAUCCGCGCCGCAUUAGCUAGUUGGUAAGGUAACGGCUUACCAAGGCAACGAUGCGUAGCCGACCUGAGAGGGUGAUCGGCCACACUGGAACUGAGACACGGUCCAGACUCCUACGGGAGGCAGCAGUAGGGAAUCUUCCGCAAUGGGCGAAAGCCUGACGGAGCAACGCCGCGUGAGUGAUGAAGGUCUUCGGAUCGUAAAACUCUGUUAUUAGGGAAGAACAAAUGUGUAAGUAACUAUGCACGUCUUGACGGUACCUAAUCAGAAAGCCACGGCUAACUACGUG